UGGGGAAUUUUCCGCAAUGGGGGCAACCCUGACGGAGCAACGCCGCGUGGGGGAGGAAUGUCUGUGGAUUGUAAACCCCUUUUCUCAGGGAAGAAGUUCUGACGGUACCUGAGGAAUCAGCAUCGGCUAACUCCGUGCCAGCAGCCGCGGUAAGACGGAGGUUGCAAGCGUUAUCCGGAAUUAUUGGGCGUAAAGCGUCCGUAGGCGGUUUUUCAAGUCUGCCGUUAAAGACCACAGCUUAACUGUGGGCCGGCGGUGGAAACUGUUGAACUGGAGUACGGUAGGGGUAGAGGGAAUUCCCAGUGUAGCGGUGAAAUGCGUAGAUAUUGGGAAGAACACCGGUGGCGAAGGCGACCACCUGGCUCGGCCCUGACGCUGAGGCGCGAAAGCGUGGGGAGCAAACAGGAUUAGAUACCCCCGUAGUCC
rnacentral:rRNA from 1 species